rnacentral:rRNA from 1 species
AUUGAACGCUGGCGGCAUGCCUUACACAUGCAAGUCGAACGGCAGCACGGAGCUUGCUCUGGUGGCGAGUGGCGAACGGGUGAGUAAUAUAUCGGAACGUACCCUAGAGUGGGGGAUAACGUAGCGAAAGUUACGCUAAUACCGCAUACGAUCUAAGGAUGAAAGUGGGGGAUCGCAAGACCUCAUGCUCGUGGAGCGGCCGAUAUCUGAUUAGCUAGUUGGUAGGGUAAAAGCCUACCAAGGCAUCGAUCAGUAGCUGGUCUGAGAGGACGACCAGCCACACUGGAACUGAGACACGGUCCAGACUCCUACGGGAGGCAGCAGUGGGGAAUUUUGGACAAUGGGCGAAAGCCUGAUCCAGCAAUGCCGCGUGAGUGAAGAAGGCCUUCGGGUUGUAAAGCUCUUUUGUCAGGGAAGAAACGGUGAAAGCUAAUAUCUUUUGCUAAUGACGGUACCUGAAGAAUAAGCACCGGCUAACUACGUGCCAGCAGCCGCGGUAAUACGUAGGGUGCAAGCGUUAAUCGGAAUUACUGGGCGUAAAGCGUGCGCAGGCGGUUUUGUAAGUCUGAUGUGAAAUCCCCGGGCUCAACCUGGGAAUUGCAUUGGAGACUGCAAGGCUAGAAUCUGGCAGAGGGGGGUAGAAUUCCACGUGUAGCAGUGAAAUGCGUAGAUAUGUGGAGGAACACCGAUGGCGAAGGCAGCCCCCUGGGUCAAGAUUGACGCUCAUGCACGAAAGCGUGGGGAGCAAACAGGAUUAGAUACCCUGGUAGUCCACGCCCUAAACGAUGUCUACUAGUUGUCGGGUCUUAAUUGACUUGGUAACGCAGCUAACGCGUGAAGUAGACCGCCUGGGGAGUACGGUCGCAAGAUUAAAACUCAAAGGAAUUGACGGGGACCCGCACAAGCGGUGGAUGAUGUGGAUUAAUUCGAUGCAACGCGAAAAACCUUACCUACCCUUGACAUGGCUGGAAUCCCGGAGAGAUUUGGGAGUGCUCGAAAGAGAACCAGUACACAGGUGCUGCAUGGCUGUCGUCAGCUCGUGUCGUGAGAUGUUGGGUUAAGUCCCGCAACGAGCGCAACCCUUGUCAUUAGUUGCUACGAAAGGGCACUCUAAUGAGACUGCCGGUGACAAACCGGAGGAAGGUGGGGAUGACGUCAAGUCCUCAUGGCCCUUAUGGGUAGGGCUUCACACGUCAUACAAUGGUACAUACAGAGCGCCGCCAACCCGCGAGGGGGAGCUAAUCGCAGAAAGUGUAUCGUAGUCCGGAUUGUAGUCUGCAACUCGACUGCAUGAGGUUGGAAUCGCUAGUAAUCGCGGAUCAGCAUGUCGCGGUGAAUACGUUCCCGGGUCU